rnacentral:rRNA from 1 species
GAUGAACGCUGGCGGCGUGCCUAAUACAUGCAAGUCGAGCGAACAGACGAGGAGCUUGCUCCUCUGACGUUAGCGGCGGACGGGUGAGUAACACGUGGAUAACCUACCUCUAAGACUGGGAUAACUUCGGGAAACCGGAGCUAAUACCGGAUAAUAUAUUGAACCGCAUGGUUCAAUAGUGAAAGACGGUUUUGCUGUCACUUAUAGAUGGAUCCGCGCCGCAUUAGCUAGUUGGUAAGGUAACGGCUUACCAAGGCAACGAUGCGUAGCCGACCUGAGAGGGUGAUCGGCCACACUGGAACUGGGACACGGUCCAGACUCCUACGGGAGGCAGCAGUAGGGAAUCUUCCGCAAUGGGCGAAAGCCUGACGGAGCAACGCCGCGUGAGUGAUGAAGGUCUUCGGAUCGUAAAACUCUGUUAUUAGGGAAGAACAAAUGUGUAAGUAACUAUGCACGUCUUGACGGUACCUAAUCAGAAAGCCACGGCUAACUACGUG